GGCCUAACACAUGCAAGUCGAGCGGUAACAGGAAUUAGCUUGCUAAUUUGCUGACGAGCGGCGGACGGGUGAGUAAUGCCUGGGAAUAUGCCUUGAUGUGGGGGAUAACUAUUGGAAACGAUAGCUAAUACCGCAUAAUGCCUACGGGCCAAAGAGGGGGAUCUUCGGACCUCUCGCGUCAAGAUUAGCCCAGGUGGGAUUAGCUAGUUGGUGGGGUAAUGGCUCACCAAGGCGACGAUCCCUAGCUGGUUUGAGAGGAUGAUCAGCCACACUGGAACUGAGACACGGUCCAGACUCCUACGGGAGGCAGCAGUGGGGAAGAUUGCACAAUGGGGGAAACCCUGAUGCAGCCAUGCCGCGUGUAUGAAGAAGGCCUUCGGGUUGUAAAGUACUUUCAGUUGUGAGGAAGGCGGUAACGUUAAUAGCGUUACCGUUUGACGUUAGCAACAGAAGAAGCACCGGCUAACUCCGUGCCAGCAGCCGCGGUAAUACGGAGGGUGCGAGCGUUAAUCGGAAUUACUGGGCGUAAAGCGCAUGC
rnacentral:rRNA from 1 species